rnacentral:misc_RNA from 1 species
GAUGAAGAACGUAGCGAAAUGCGAUAAGUAAUGUGAAUUGCAGAAUUCAGUGAAUCAUCGAAUCUUUGAACGCACAUUGCGCCCGGCAGUACUCUGCCGGGCAUGCCUGUUCGAGCGUCAUUUCAACCCUCGAGCCCUGCUUGGUGUUGGGGUCCCACGGCCGCCGUGGGCCCUGAAAGGAAGUGGCGGGCUCGCUACAACUCCGAGCGUAGUAGUUACAUCUCGCUCAGGGCGUGCUGCGGGUUCCGGCCGUUAAAAGCCUUUUACCCCAAGGUUGACCUCGGAUCAGGUAGGAAGACCCGCUGAACUUAAGCAUAUCAAUAAGCGGAGGA